rnacentral:rRNA from 1 species
AGUGAACGCUGGCGGUAGGCCUAACACAUGCAAGUCGAACGGCAGCACAGUAAGAGCUUGCUCUUACGGGUGGCGAGUGGCGGACGGGUGAGGAAUACAUCGGAAUCUACUUUUUCGUGGGGGAUAACGUAGGGAAACUUACGCUAAUACCGCAUACGACCUACGGGUGAAAGCAGGGGAUCUUCGGACCUUGCGCGAUUGAAUGAGCCGAUGUCGGAUUAGCUAGUUGGCGGGGUAAAGGCCCACCAAGGCGACGAUCCGUAGCUGGUCUGAGAGGAUGAUCGGCCACACUGGAACUGAGACCCGGUCCAGACUCCUACGGGAGGCAGCAGUGGGGAAUGUUGGACAAUGGGCGCAAGCCUGAUCCAGCCAUACCGCGUGGGUGAAGAAGGCCUUCGGGUUGUAAAGCCCUUUUGUUGGGAAAGAAAAGCAGCAGGUUAAUACCCCGCUGUUCUGACGGUACCCAAAGAAUAAGCACCGGCUAACUUCGUG